GACGGGUGACCCACGACCAGGAGGACCCAUUCCACCAACGACCACCUCCGGCCGGAGCCCCUGCUCUACGCCUCAUCCCUAGCCUGCCCUCCAGGGACUCCAUCCAGGCCGGUUCAUCCUCUCAAGAGAAGGACCUUCAGCUGAUUUUUGUGGCACUCUGAAACGUGAUCUAGUGGAAGAUUUUUUGAACGAAACAAUUGCUGAUCCAGUAGAGCAUUCAUCAUCAACAUCUAAAGUUCAGUAUGACUCAGACACUGCGAUUAUGCCUACUGAGUUUGACAACAACUGGGUUAUGCAGCUAUUUACGGAGGUCUGUACACGGUUGGAGGCUACGGUGAGGGAU